GACGGAGGGUGCAAGCGUUGUUCGGAUUGACUGGGCGUAAAGGGCGUGUAGGCGGUUUGUCAAGUCGGGUGUGAAAGCCUGGGGCUCAGCCCCAGAAGUGCAUCCGAAACUAGCGAGCUAGAGCGCGAUAGAGGAGGGUGGAAUUCCUGGUGUAGCGGUGAAAUGCGUAGAUAUCGUAAGGAAGACCAGUGGCGAAGGCGGGUCUCUGGACAGUUCCUGACGCUGAGGCACGAAGGCCAGGGGAGCAAACAGG
rnacentral:rRNA from 1 species